rnacentral:rRNA from 1 species
AUUGAACGCUGGCGGCAGGCCUAACACAUGCAAGUCGAACGAGUGGCGGACGGGUGAGAAAUGUCUGGGAAACUGCCCGAUGGAGGGGGAUAACUACUGGAAACGGUAGCUAAUACCGCAUACAAUCGGAUGUGCCCAGAUGGGGUUCGCUAGUAGGUGGGGUAAAGGCUCACCUAUGAGACGAUCCCUAGCGGGUCUGAGAGGAUGACCGGCCACACUGUAACUGAGACCCGGUCCAGACCCCCACGGGAGGCAGGAGUGGGGAAAUUUGCACAAUGGGCGCAGUCGUGAUGCAGCCAUGCCGCGUGUAUGAAUAAGGCCUUCGGGUUGUAAAGUACUUUCAGCGCGGAGGCGUUACCCGCAGAAGAAGCACCGGCUAACUCCGUGCCAGCAGCCGCGGUAAUUC